rnacentral:rRNA from 1 species
GACGUAGGUGGCGAACGUUAAUCGGAAUUACUGGGCGUAAAGCGUGCGCAGGCGGUUUUCCAAGACAGAUGUGAAAUCCCCGGGCUCAACCUGGGAAUGGCAUUUGUGACUGGAAGGCUAGAGUGUGUCAGAGGGGGGUAGAAUUCCACGUGUAGCAGUGAAAUGCGUAGAGAUGUGGAGGAAUACCGAUGGCGAAGGCAGCCCCCUGGGAUAACACUGACGCUCAUGCACGAAAGCGUGGGGAGCAAACAGG